GUGCUUGCUUUGGCAGCGUAUAUAUCACAAUUAAAACAAUGCAGAGAAGAUUAGCAUGGCCUCUGAGCAAGGAUGACACACAAAUUCAUGAAGUGUUUCAUAAUGUU